UGGAUUAGUUUUGCAAUCUCUUUAUGAACUUUCUGAAGCGUCAAAGUGGUGUUGCAAUCAGUCUAGUAGUCUCGAGUUCCAGUUCAUUUCUAGGUACUCCAAUUCACAUACAUCCAGUCUAGCAGUUCCAAGAUGUUCCAUUUCUAUCCAUUUUUCGUUUAGAACCCCAAACAAUGGAACAUUUGUAAAACUAACAGAGACAAGAAAGACCACACCAGAUAUAAAAUGUCUAUUAUUACCUCUGAUGGUUUAGCAAUAGUUCCCUUAUCACAGACUCCUACACACUCCUUUAUGCACACACACACACACUCACACACAGACCACACUUUCUCUGCACUUUUAUUUUUGAGCUGAAAUGAAAUUUCAGGGAACAAUAAGAAAUGAAAAAACAGUAAUAAUAGAAUCCAUUCUGUGACCACUACCGCCUUUGUACUUAAUAAUUUUCUGUAAAGAGAGAAGCCACGCUUGGUGGAAUAGUGCAGGCUCUCUCCUUGAUUGCUUUUGUUCUUCAACAGUAGUCCUCCUUGCCCCCGUCAGCCUUUAGUUAUGAGAGCUUCUUUCUUUUUUUCCUCUCACAAGAAAUUCUAACUUUGACAACAAGCUCUAAAGGUCACAACAGCAUUUUUUAGAUACAAGCAGGAGGCUUCCCUUAAGAUAAAAGAAAGUCAAGGGACGCCAUUAGCAACAGACUUAAUGUUCAUGUGCUCAGCUCAGAUCAGAUUCAACGGUUGUUUCCCAGCUAGAAGGAGCCAAUGAUUUGACCCAGUUUUAGUGAACACAGAAAAGAAACAGCUCUCUAAUGGCAGUGACCUCAGCACCAGAUUACUUUAUCUCUAGACAUCACUGUCCACUUCCUGCUUCAGUCAGCAGUGACACAACACGGGGAGAUGGUGGGGUUAUCUGAGCUCCUCGUAGAAGAGUUCAUAUGAAGACUGGCAGAACUGUUGUCAACACUUUUUCUCACUGCCACUGCCAAUACAGACAAGCUGCUGUAAGACAUACUGCUGCUGCACAAAUAGCAUAUAUAAAAUCACCCUUAGCAGAUAUAUACAGGUGGAGCUGGGGAAGGUGGAGGGUUUCAGAUGAACUUUGAAAGCAAACUGCUGGGGGUGGGACGGUUCAGAUUUCUCACGGUUCAGUUUGUGGCACGGUUUUAGUGUCAUGGUUUCAGUACAGUUCGGUAUGUGCUAUUUUCAGUAAAAAGUAGGACAACUGUCAAAUAAAGAUAAAGGAAAUAAAAACAAAUAAUGUAACUACAAGAAACAGCACAAAUAAAUACAUGAGAGAUAAGAUACAAAAAAAAAAUUAACAAUGCUUUACAGGUUUUUCAUGUAUCUAACAGCUUUCAGGUAGAAAUUGAAUAAAGUAAUCAAAUAUAAAAUAACUGCAUAUAAACUUCUUUGAAUAGUUAAAUAAAGAAACAUUAUUGAAGUUACAAAAGCUAUUCAGUCAAGAGUUAUUUCUUCGUGCUUUGUUGUUCGAUUAACAUUAAAACUCAUAGAGCAGCAUUGGCGUGAUUAGAGCAGAAAUACCAGCAGAAAGUUUUAAACCCAUAUUUAAACCCUUUUUUUUUUUUACAUUAAAAGGGAAUUGCACAAUUGAAGUAUCAUAAAAGUGAUUUGCACAAUUCAAGAGUUAUAUUCCAAAAGCCAUAUGAUAGACUUCCAAAGUGUUUUUACACCUUAACAACAUUCAUUCCCAUUUACUUUCAUUGUAUUCCAGUAAAUGUUCUGCUGAAUUUCUCUUUAUGUGUUCCAUUGAAGACAGAAAGUCUUACAGAAUGGCAAUAUCAUAGUCACAACGAAUCACAUGGAAAUAUUGCAGCUUAGGAAAAAUCCACCCUGUGAAGAACAGUGACAGCCCAAGGACGUGUUCUGGAGAAUGGUUUGGAGAGAGAAAAAAAAAGACUGCUAAAACCACUGUAAACUCAUCAAACCAGGUCUCCAGAGAAAAGCCAUGAAAAACAUCAGUAGAAGAACAUCUCAGGGUGACAUCCCUAUGGACCUCAGAGUCAGGGUGACCAUAAAGAGACCCCCGUGUUUCACCCCCAUGUCCUGAUGGAGAAAGGUCAGGGGUCAUAGGGAGCAUGGAUAUGUCCAUUCCCGGAGGGGCGGAAGGGUAAUGGAAUGGCAGAUUCAGGCCAAACGGAGCAAUUUGCACUUAUCCCAUCUGAACAUGGAAGAAAAGAGAAAGACAUGAGGAGGCAGUUUAACAAUAGAGCCAGGAGCCCUCUUCACCCCUCAGACAGCCCAACAUCCAGAUAACCUGCUUACAAGACUUCAGACCACAUGGAAACGGUUGUUUUAUGACCAUUAUUAAGCCAUUGUGAUCCCUUUGUAUGGCUUUUUAUGGUUUUGUCAACUUUAACAGUAUGCAGAGACUUCUGAGAUUUUCCUUCGUCUCCCCUGCUUCCCUGUCUGUCUACGCGUCUGUCUUCUCUCUAAUGAAAACUGUCAGCUACCAGCAUCUGUAAGCCCAACAAAUAUGAUGUGAUGUUUCUUUCCAUUUAUUUUAUACCACAAAUUAUAUGUAGCAUAUUAAAUGUGAUGUUUGUUUCCAUUUUACUCCUCGAGGAGAUUUCUGUGGCACUGGCAGUAAUUAACAGUUAGUAUUCUGUCUUUUCUCAUUAGUUUUCAAGACUGGAAAAUAUCCAAAGAAAAUCUGAUUCUUGGAUACUGGGACAAAGCAGGCUACGGGACUCAAGACAUUAAAGUUCUGAAUCAAGUAUUGGGGUUUUUUAUGAUAUUCACGUAAUAUCCUACUGUUUCAUGACUAUCUCCAAUCUGCCUUCCAGCUUUCCCACAUCAAGUGCAUUCAAAUGAGCCACAGUGACAGAGGGUCUGAUGGGACGUAUUGAUGCCCAGGUGAUGAAGCUGAUCCUGGGGCGCUAGAAAGAUAGAUCCCCUUUAUCUGCUCCCCCCUCCAGCGCCACUAACCGCAAUCAGAGCCACCGUGCGCUGCUUCAACUCUGGAAGAGCAAUGAGACCCCGGAGACCAGCCAAGCUAUUGCUUUGAUCUGAGACAGAGAGGGAGAGACAGAGAGGGAAGACCCUCAUCUUGCCCCGGCCCUUUAGGAGAGAUACACACAUAUAAUAGUCUUGUGACAAUAUAUUCAGGCUGAAUGAGUGAACCUGGAUCUCAUUAGUGUGUGUUGACAUGAGGAAACAAGAGACUGACUUCCAUCACGGCUCUGAUAGAUCACAUCAGUGCUGGACUGCAAGCAGGUCUGUCAAUGGCCCACAAUCUGAACUGAAGAUGACCAGCAGGAAUGGCUCGCUGUCCUCGCGAUGACCUGGAGCGUGUGUGUGUGUGCAAAGGUGCACAUCCCCAUCCAUGUACUUAAUCAUGUGCUAGCCACCAGCUAACACAGACUGUCUGGAGAAGACGCAGGCCAAUGUGAACUGUCAGUAAUCAACAUGGCAUUUAGUCAUUCCCUGCCAAUUAGCGAAGCAUUACCUGCCCCAGGUCAAUGGCAGAGCCGCAUAUCAGCCGGCUGAUGAAACCGGAGCGAUGUGCACUCCACGCAAGGAUCAUCUGAUGUCACCACCGCCGUAGCUCUAUGCCGGUGCAUGGAGGGGUCAGCCCGUAUUCUCCAUCAACUGCAGCGCACACGACUGGAACAUACCUGUCAGUGGAUGUAAGGGAGCGGGAUCAUGGAAACGGAUGAUGUUAUGAAGAACAGAGCAGGUAUUCAGGGAAAAUGACAUCUUGAAAAUACUUCAUGCACUUUAACAAAGAUGUUUCAUGUGUGUGUGUGAGACAGGGACUGGUGGGAAACUAAGAAAUAGAUGGAGAAUGAACAGUGUUUUAUCAGUUGUGUUUGCUCUGUCUCAGUGUGACUGCCUGGCUGCCCUGUCAGUGACUUUAAGGUUUGUUGGCUAAUCAGUCUCAUUUUGCCUCAUUAGCCGCCUGCGUGGAGUUUCUUUCAAACUGAGAUGAUGUAUUACCAGGCCAAAUAGUCUUCUGGCUGCCCUCAGGGGUGAGACAGGAAUGAAAUACAUGUGUGUGUGUGAGGAAAAAGGACAGACGGAGCACUAGGUGUACAUUCAACUGGUUAAAGGAAAUCACAGAUUAGGCCUCUUUAGUGUGCCAAUCGUGUCUAUUAGACAAAAAUGAGAUUAAAUGGAGAUUUUUGUUGUACCACUGAAAAUUAUUUAGACUUCUUCAUUUUGCCCUUUUUUUUCUUUUACUUAGUUAAAGGGUUAAUUCACCCAAAAAUUAAAAUAAUGUAAUUUAUUGCUC